rnacentral:rRNA from 1 species
AGAGUUUGAUCCUGGCUCAGGAUGAACGCUAGCGGUGCGCCUAAUACAUGCAAGUCGAGCGGUAACAUGCCUUCGGGUGAUGACUAGCGGCGAACGGCUGAGUAACACGUUGAUACCUACCCCGCACUCAGGGAUAACUUACUGAAAAGUAAGCUAAUACCGGAUGGUCUCGUAAGAGUAAAGCUUUUGCGGUGCGGGAGGGGUCUGCGGCCUAUCAGUUAGUUGGUGAGGUAAUGGCUUACCAAGACUAUGACGGGUAGCUGAUGUGAGAGCAUGAUCAGCCAGAAUGGAACUGAGACACGGUCCAUACUCCUACGGGAGGCAGCAGUAGGGAAUCUUCCGCAAUGGACGAAAGUCUGACGGAGCGACACCGCGUGAAGGAUGACACCUCUAGGGGCGUAAACUUCUUUUCUGAGUGAUGAAAUUUUGACAUUAGCUCAGAAUAAGCACCGCUAAUUA